CUGAGCUGCAGCUUAGUGAAAAGGCACCUUUGAGUUGUUUAUUUUCACAAUCAUGUGCAACAAUAAUACCUCUACCCUAUACACCAGUGUUACCUUAAAAUGUGUGUGUGUCUGCGAGAGUGUGUGUGAUUACCCAUGCUGUUAUCAGCAGCACGCCGCCAUUCACUCCGCCUGAAAUGAAAGGUUUUCCUCUGUCACAAAGCAGUUUCUUUGUUUCCAUGGCGCUAUGAUUCUGUCAAAAUCCGAGGGAAAAACAGAGGGGGAGAGAAAAAAAAAUCAAUUUCCCCCCAAUCACCAGCAGCAGUCUCAGCCUAGCAGGCCGCCGCCAUGCAAGAGCACACGCCAGCACAUGCAAGCAUGGCCAGUGGGAGACACAUAAACAGAAAAAUAAUAGCAGCAGAAAAGGUAAUGAUCCUGGGAGACCAAAAUGAAGACAUCUCUUGUCUAUCUGCAGCUCAAAACCAGUGGAUCUGCAACAUAUUGACAAAAGCUGUUUGCUGUGACUAAGAAGAUCAAACAGAGCUGCUGCAUCGAUAGGGAGAUGGAGAGGGUGAAGUGGGAGAGCGGGAGAAGAAAGGAUGGAAAAGGGAAGACAAAUCCAUGCAGGGAAGAGCAGAGGGAGACUGCGGCCGCUCUCCCACAGGCAGACAGCAAUCAAUAAAUCAAUAGGAAACUGUGGUUGGCUGGAGAACGACUGGGGCUGGGAGGAUGGAGGAUGGAGGAUGGAGGAUGGAAAAGAGAGACCAGAAUCAAAGCAGCUCCAAGAUGGAUCGAGCGAGGAGAGGAAGGGUGAGGAGGAGAAAUAGAGGGAGACAAGGAGAGUUCAAUAGGGGAGGAGGAGGAGAAUGCAGGAAGAGGGGAAAAAGUGAAUACAGGAAAGGUGGUUAUUACAGGAGCUUUUAGGUGGAAGUCCAGCAGGUUUUGGGGUCCCCCCCUCCCCAGUCCGACCUGCAGCAAAUCCUGCAUCAGCGGUGCAGUGAUUGGGCUUGGCACAAUGUGAUGCCCCGCUGAGGUCUGCCCAAUGAACCCAGUGAAGCGCGGCUGUGUCUGGGGUUGGGGGAUUGCCCUGGGCCCCCUCUGCCCGCUGGGUGCAGCUCGGCUGACUGGCUGGCUGCCUGGCUGGCUGGACAUCGAUCUCAGUGGGUUGGAGAGUACAGCUGGACGCACACUGAGAGCUGGGGCUAAAUCUGGCUCAGGCUCAAUCAACGUUUGCACCUGUCUUUUCCGAAGGGAAUUAAACGUAGCAGAUAGAGAGAAAGAAAGAGUAAUGGUGUGUGUGAGCACGUGUGCGUUUCCGUCUCCGCCGGUGUGCGAGUGCAUGCUGGUGUGUAUUGGGUUAAGUUUCUGGGUGCGGGGGAGUAGUUAGAAACAUCGCAGUUUUCUCAUUAGACAACAGUUUUUGCUGCAGCAGGUGAGGCUGGAGCUGCUCCGUGUCUUCGUACAGCCUCCAGUGGCUCCAUGUGAAGAUGAUAAAGUUAAAAAGGAAAACUGCUGAUCAUCACAUGCAAUCAACAGACUAUUUAAAUUGGAUUAAAUAUCAAUUCCU